UGCCUUCAUUUAAUAAAAAUUUCAUUAAUUCCCAAACUAUCCCUCUGUCUCCACCGCAAAUCUCUCUCUCUCUCUACUCCGCCAUUCUCAGAUCCAGGUGAUCUGAGCCUGUCGACACGGUCGCCGCCGUUCCGUUCCGAUCUCGGUAGCGAUCAGUGAGAGAUGGAGAAUCUAAUCUCUCUGGUGAACAUAAUCCAGAGGGCUUGCACGGCUCUCGGCGACCAUGGCGAAGGCAGCACGUUGCCUACUCUCUGGGACUCUCUCCCGGUGAUCGCCGUCGUUGGUGGCCAGGAAUUGUUACUCGGCGUCCUCUUGUGUUGCAACUUCAUAAGAUUUCUGAAGGCAUAAGAGAAUAUGCGGAGUUUCUCCAUCUCUCAAGAAAAAGAUUUACUGAUUUUGGGUGUUUAGAGGCAACACUCCUUUGAGAGCUAAAUGUAUGUAGUUAAUGAGUUAUAUUCAUUUUACAUGACAAUGUUGAUUAUAUCUGUGAGGCACCACUCCUCUAGUGUUCCAAUUCAUCUUAGCAUCUAUUCUCCCAACGUUGUCAACUUGACCCUUAUUGAUCUUCCCGGGCUUACAAAAGUAGCAGUUGAGUAGGGUCUCCCCAGAUGCUCCUAGAUGCGGUUUUAGCUCCAAAGUCGUUAAUGCCCUUAAAGAGGAGAAUGUGAGUUUUGGCUCCUUUGACAUCACGACUGAUGAGGAAGUUAGGCAGGGGCUGAAAGUCUUUUCAAACUGGCCAACCUUUCCACAGCUUUAUUACAAAGGGGAACUCAUAGUGUUCCGAUGCUAUGAUAUGGAUUUCCGAUAUAAUUAAUGUUUCAUACUCCAAAUUUUGAUAAAUCUUAGCUACCAAUUAGUUUUGCUGCUUGGUUCUUUUUGUCGUAGCUUAUGUAGUUAUGGAUAUAUAUGUUUGCAAGAACUAUUCCUUUCUGAAAUGAUAUAUCAAUGUGUGUAUUUACGUGUGUGUGUGGAUAUGAAUGUGUGUAUUUUGAAAUGAUAUUUUCAUUUGCUCUUUUUUCUUGUGUAUGGGUAUCAAUGUGUGAAUUUGCUCAUUUACGUGUGUGUGUGUGUGUAUGGAUAUCAAUAGGAAACUGAAGACCACCAACUAGGAAGUUGAAGGCCACAUACAAGGC